CAGUCAUAUCUUUGUUCACUAUCUGUUUCAUAAGUUACAAGUCUUGACAUUACUUCCUCAACCGCCAUUGGCUGCUCAGAUCUUAUUCAUCAUGCCGAAAUCCUAGCGCUCGGCUAUCCUCAUUGCCGGCCUCCAGACUUCACCCCUAUUGUUUACCGCAGGACGUCGGCAAUUCUAUUAGUAGCAAUAAAAAAUGCGGAGCCUGCAUCAAAUGGGAGUAGGAAAUCAUUACCAUCCGGAAACGUACAUGUGCUGGGGAGAUUGUGCAUUGAGGAUCACAAAAUGAGAUUCGAGCGGACGGAUUUCUUUGCCUCACACACCGGUGACGAUAUCCUUCCACUGGCUCCGUUCUUUUCAAGAUUCUUCGAUACGCUCACCGGAAAUCGCGGCGUAUAGCAAUUAGGGAUGUUAGUCUUUCAAUCGAGAGAACAUACUUUGAGUUUCUCAGUGACAUGCUUGCUGGACAGAAUGUACAGUACUUUGGUCAAGUCUUUCGCUAGAAAUCAUGAAAGUAUUGUGGGCUGGUAAAGAUAUAUAUACAUUGCACUUAUUGCCCCCAGCAGUUAUGAGUAUGCUGUUAGAUUUGUUGUGACAUGCGCCCUGGGCGCCGCGGUGGUCCCUAUGAGUUAAGAAUUGAUCCCAUAUAUAUUUCCACAAAAUAAAAGCGUUGUGCUGGUGGAAACGUCCACAGCUAUUCUACCCC
rnacentral:sRNA from 1 species